rnacentral:tRNA from 1 species
GGAGAUAGCUCAUUGGUAAAGCACCUGCCUAGCACGCAUGAGAUCAUGAGAUCAAUCCCCAUCACCA